GACGAACGCUGGCGGCGUGCUUAACACAUGCAAGUCGAACGGAAAGGCCUCUUUCGGGGGGUACUCGAGUGGCGAACGGGUGAGUAACACGUGAGUAACCUGCCCUUGACUUUGGGAUAACUUCAGGAAACUGGGGCUAAUACCGGAUAGGAGCUCCUGCUGCAUGGUGGGGGUUGGAAAGUUUCGGCGGCUGGGGAUGGACUCGCGGCUUAUCAGCUUGUUGGUGGGGUAGUGGCUUACCAAGGCUUUGACGGGUAGCCGGCCUGAGAGGGUGACCGGCCAAAAUGGGACUGGGAUACGGCCCAGACUCCUACGGGAGGCAGCAGUGGGGAAUAUUGCACAAUGGGUGGAAGCCUGAUGCAGCAACGCCGUGUGCGGGAUGACGGCCUUCGGGUUGGAAACCGCUUUCGCUCAUGACGAAGCUUUGUGUGACGGUAGUGGGUAAAGAAGCACCGGCUAACUACGUG
rnacentral:rRNA from 1 species